GAUUGGGCAAAAAAUGCUGGCCCAGCCAGUGACACCUCAUCCAAUAAAUGAAUUUAAGGAAAGGUCACCCUCCCCUCCAAACCUUUCACUAUCCUCCUCACUUCACCACACUUCUAAACUUCGUGACAUCUGCAAAAUUUGAAAUUAUGCCAAGUUCGCAAAUUUCAAACUCUCAGAUAGAGUCAAUGUUGUGGAGAGAUUCCUGUGAUAUCUUAUCGUAUAACUUGGUUCAAUCUGAGAAACUCCACCAUUCAGCCCUACUCUAUAAUUCCUGUGAUUCACUCAGUUUCGAAUCCAUGCUUUGCUUGUGUUUUCUCAGCUGUUUGGACAAGCAUUUUAUCAAACUGUUUUUGGAACAUGGGUAGAGCUGACUCUUUAACAAUUUUUGUCUCUGAGCCAGGGCUGGAUUGAUACAGCACCACUGACUCAAAACGAAACUGUAGUGGCUCUCGGCAAAAAUAAAACUGCAGUUUACGGGAAUUGCUCGCUCUUCUUGUAAAAGCCUGACAGGCCAGCAGCUACAUGUUCUCUUCCACUGUUGUAAACAUCCAACUGCAGACUGUACCAUCACGGAGAAUUCUCUUUACCCCCCCCUCCCCAUUCCUUCAAACAGAGUAAUUUAAAGCAAAAAUCAGGAAGAAAGAAAUCUCGGAUGAAAGAAAUCCCAGAAAGAGGAAAAGCAAAACACCCGAAGCGCGUCGAGCGAAGCGAAUGAAAUCGAUAAACGGAUUAAAAAUUCCCUGGAUGGCUAUUGAAACAAUGUGUCAAAAAGUGUGGCACUGGAAAAGCACAGCAAGUCAGGCUGCAUCUGAGGACCAGAAGAGUUGAUGU